rnacentral:rRNA from 1 species
UACGGAGGGUGCAAACGUUUAAUCGGAAUUACUGGGCGUAAAGCGUGCGCAGGCGGUUUGUUAAGUCCGUUGUGAAAGCCCCGAGCUCAACUUGGGAAUUGCAGUGGAUACUGGCAGGCUGGAGUACGGUAGAGGAAGGUGGAAUUCCCGGUGUAGCAGUGAAAUGCGUAGAUAGUCGGGAGGAACACCAGUGGCGAAGGCGGCCUUCUGGACCAGUACUGACGCUCAUGCACGAAAGCGUGGGGAGCAAACAGG